GGGUACUUGUAUGAAACAAAUUACAAACUGACACAUCAAUGUUCAGAUUUGAAAUUUUUUUAAUACAAGUACCGCUACCGCACACCUUGCGGUGUGGUCAAGCCUUAAUUCAUACCUGUAGGUGUUGCCGUUCUUUUUAAAUAUUUUGUACCUAUUCCCUUAAAAAACUUAUAACAAAUAUGUAAUUAAACUUUCUCAUUUAUUCAUAUUAAAUUUGUAAUUAUGGUAUUUAUAUCUUGAAUCUGGAAUAUACAACUCAUUUUCAAUUUGAAAACGAAGAAAUGGAACACUAUCAUAAAAAGUAACUUUUUAGUCAGUGAUUUGCAUCAAAUAUUCCAGUGUGCAAUUGGUUGAACGAAUGUGAAUAAAACGAACAACAAAAGAAAAAAAUACCUCAUAAGGGGUAAUCAAAACGAGUCCUACAAUAAAAAUAAGUGUGUAGUGACGUACCUACAAGUGUAUAUACAGUGUCAAAACUUAUAUAAUAUUAAUUUUUUAUUUGUAUUUGUGUGGUUGGGGUAUUUAAUGGAGAAUAUAAACUUAUAAUACAGCAACGGUUUCAGUCUGUCAUAGUUGUAGUUUUGUACUCUUCUAGCUGUAGAAACGCAGGGGAACUAUGUUCCAAAACAAAACAAAAACGAAAAAAAAAGAAAUAACAAACAAACGACUGAAACAAAGUCAUACUCGUGAAAGAGAUGCCACCAUCAACUUGUAAAUUUGUGUAGAAGGCUGAAAAUGAAAAAACCUCUCCAAAUUCAGUUGUUCGGUUUUGAACGAUCUUUACCGACGAACGGCUGCUAAGUGGGUACGUUAACGACUAGUACACCUUGUGACAAGAUAAAGUUUUUGUGUUCAUCUCGUCGUUUUUUUGCCGCGCCGUUACAGUAUUUAAUUAUUUUAAUUUUAUUUCGUUAAAAAAAUCUGAUUUUUAGUGUGUGAACCAUGUAGAUGCGAUUUGAUUAUGGCGGAGUGUGUACUUUGUUUUAUAAAAAAAAAAACGUACAUGACUUUUUUUCAUCAUCUACUUUUCGUAUUUCGGUUCUCGCGCGUGAAAAGCUUUUUUUUUUUUAUUUUCUUCCCAAAGUUCCAAUUUAUACAAUUUUUCUAUUAUAUUCAAUUAUAUUGCAAAAUGCAAAGAGAGUGAGAGAGAAACAAAUUAUUAGGGAAACACAUCUAAUUGUUUUAUUUUUUUUUACUUAAGAUGAAACAUUGGACCUAAUCGAUAGCAAAAGGAAAACUGUAAAAAGAAAAAGUCACAAAUAGUUAGAAAAAAAGAAAGUUUUUUUUU